UACGAAGGGGGCUAGCGUUGUUCGGAAUCACUGGGCGUAAAGCGCACGUAGGCGGAUUGUUAAGUCGGGGGUGAAAUCCUGAGGCUCAACCUCAGAACUGCCUUCGAUACUGGCGAUCUUGAGUCCGGAAGAGGUUGGUGGAACAGCUAGUGUAGAGGUGAAAUUCGUAGAUAUUAGCUAGAACACCAGUGGCGAAGGCGGCCAACUGGUCCGGAACUGACGCUGAGGUGCGGAAAGCGUGGGGAGCAAACAGG
rnacentral:rRNA from 1 species